UACAGAGGGUGCGAGCGUUGUUCGGAAUUAUUGGGCGUAAAGGGCGCGUAGGCGGUGCGGUAAGUCACCUGUGAAAUCUCCUGGCUCAACUGGGAGCUUGCAGGCGAAACUGCCGUGCUGGAGUGUGGGAGAGGUGCGUGGAAUUCCUGGUGUAGCGGUGAAAUGCGCAGAUAUCAGGAGGAACACCGGUGGCGAAGGCGGGUCUCUGGGCCGAUACUGACGCUGAGGAGCGAAAGCGUGGGGAGCAAACAGG
rnacentral:rRNA from 1 species